rnacentral:tRNA from 1 species
GCCGAGGUGGUGGAACUGGCAGACACGACAGACUCAAAAUCUGUUGAUUGUUUCAAUCGUGAGAGUUCGAGUCUCUCUCUCGGUA